rnacentral:rRNA from 1 species
UACACUCCUGCGGGAGGCAGCAGUGGGGAAUUUUGGACAAUGGGCGAAAGCCUGAUCCAGCAAUGCCGCGUGAGUGAAGAAGGCCUUCGGGUUGUAAAGCUCUUUUGUCAGGGAAGAAACGGUGAGAGCUAAUAUCUCUUGCUAAUGACGGUACCUGAAGAAUAAGCACCGGCUAACUACGUGCCAGCAGCCGCGGUAAUACGUAGGGUGCAAGCGUUAAUCGGAAUUACUGGGCGUAAAGCGUGCGCAGGCGGUUUUGUAAGUCUGAUGUGAAAUCCCCGGGCUCAACCUGGGAAUUGCAUUGGAGACUGCAAGGCUAGAAUCUGGCAGAGGGGGGUAGAAUUCCACGUGUAGCAGUGAAAUGCGUAGAUAUGUGGAGGAACACCGAUGGCGAAGGCAGCCCCCUGGGUCAAGAUUGACGCUCAUGCACGAAAGCGUGGGGAGCAAACAGGAUUAGAAACCCCUGUAGUCCCAUGAU